rnacentral:rRNA from 1 species
AUUGAACGCUGGUGGCAGGCCUAACACAUGCAAGUCGAACGGUAACAGGAAACAGCUUGCUGUUUCGCUGACGAGUGGCGGACGGGUGAGUAAUGUCUGGGAAACUGCCUGAUGGAGGGGGAUAACUACUGGAAACGGUAGCUAAUACCGCAUAACGUCGCAAGACCAAAGAGGGGGACCCUCGGGCCUCUUGCCAUCGGAUGUGCCCAGAUGGGAUUAGCUUGUUGGUGGGGUAACGGCUCACCAAGGCGACGAUCCCUAGCUGGUCUGAGAGGAUGACCAGCCACACUGGAACUGAGACACGGUCCAGACUCCUACGGGAGGCAGCAGUGGGGAAUAUUGCACAAUGGGCGCAAGCCUGAUGCAGCCAUGCCGCGUGUAUGAAGAAGGCCUUCGGGUUGUAAAGUACUUUCAGCGGGGAGGAAGGGAGUAAAGUUAAUACCUUUGCUCAUUGACGUUACCCGCAGAAGAAGCACCGGCUAACUCCGUG